CAAUAGCAUAUAUUAACGUUGUUGCAGUUGAAAAGCUCGUAGUUGAACUUUUGGUAGGAGCGACCUGGCCUUGGGCGCAUGCCCUUGUUUGCCGUGUGUCGUGUCUGGCCAUCCUUUUCUUCUUUUUGGAAGGAAUCCUUUACUGUGAGUAAACUGGAGUGCUCAAAACAAGACGUUUGUUUGGUACAUUAAAGCAUGGAAUAAUAAGAUAGGACCUGGUUACUAUUUUGUUGGUUUGCAUAGCUAGGUAAUGAUUAACAGGGACAGUUGGGGGUAUUCGUAUUUAAUUGUCAGAGGUGAAAUUCUUGGAUUUAUGAAAGACGAACGACUGCGAAAGCAUUUACCAAGGAUGUUUUCAUUAA
rnacentral:rRNA from 1 species